rnacentral:rRNA from 1 species
GAGUUUGAUCUUGGCUCAGAGCGAACGCUGGCGGCGGGCCUAACACAUGCAAGUCGAACGAACCCUUCGGGGUUAGUGGCGGACGGGUGAGUAACACGUGGGAACGUACCCUUAGGUUCGGAACAACACAGGGAAACUUGUGCUAAUACCGAAUGUGCCCUUCGGGGGAAAGAUUUAUCGCCUUUGGAGCGGCCCGCGUCUGAUUAGCUAGUUGGUGAGGUAAAGGCUCACCAAGGCUACGAUCAGUAGCUGGUCUGAGAGGAUGAUCAGCCACACUGGGACUGAGACACGGCCCAGACUCCUACGGGAGGCAGCAGUGGGGAAUAUUGGACAAUGGGCGAAAGCCUGAUCCAGCAAUGCCGCGUGAGUGAUGAAGGCCUUAGGGUUGUAAAGCUCUUUUACCCGGGAUGAUAAUGACAGUACCGGGAGAAUAAGCCCCGGCUAACUCCGUGCCAGCAGCCGCAGUAAU